UAUGCCCAGCCAAUCAGAGAAAUUGAGAGUGGAGCAGCACUGCUGAUCCUUUCGUGAAAGUUCGUACGUCAAAUUUCGUUGCCGAUUAGCUACGGAAAUUGAAAAUCAAGGCAUUGGUUUUGUUUAACUUAACCUAUAUUGCAGAUUUUAUUUGCUUUGCUUGCUUCCUAAUAAUUGAUUUAAUUAUCAACAAUUAUAUCAAAUUUGCGACUAUUUGAGUGAAAAUUCAUAGUGUGUAGUGUUGAGUGUUUACUCCAUUAUCUAUACAAUCUAUAUCUGUGCUGGUUUUGGGCUCAAAAACAAACAAUUUAAUGCUUGAGUUUCAUUACCUUUCAAUAAACUUGCCAGUGUUUCUUAGUGCAUAACAUAGAGCAAUUAAAAGUAUUUUUAAUAUUAAUUUCUCUAUGGUGCAUAAUUUCCUUCCACUUAAACCAAUAUUUGCACUUAUCUGUUGCUGUUUGUUAGACAAUUAUGGCAUCACUAAGUCAAGAAAAUGCAAUCUGUAAAGUUUGUGAUAAGGAAUUUUCAAGCACAUCUACCAGAAACAGGCAUUGGAAAAAGUUUCACCCUGAAUUUGUUGGGAAGGAAUAAAUAAAACACAUUAUAUGUCCAAUAUGUACUAAUGAUAUCCAGACAUUUUCAUAUUUUAACUGUUUAAACAAACAUUUGCUUGAUAUUCACCAUAUAACUGUCAAAGAAUCAAUUUUAAAUUUUAAAGAAUUCACAUUUUGGAGGGCACAAGAUAAUAGGGAAGUAGGUUAUGCUUGUCAGACGCGAAACAAGUUUAAGAAUGGGGAAGAACACAUAUUUUACAAUUGCAACAGGAGCGAUAUCAGAGGAUUUAAUAGCGCGUGCAAAGUGAGAAGUCUGGGGGAAGCAUUCGCAUUUAAGGAACAUGUCAACAAGACCAAACUCAAAUAGCUAUCAGCAUAAAAAUGUAAUAGAAGCCAGAGGAGCGAGUUUGUUCUAGGUUCCCCAACUGUGAUUGAAGAGGAAGAGUUAUUUGUUGAUCAACACACAACUAGCCAAAUCAAUUAUCAGGAGGAUGUAAACCAUUUUAUUCAGGAGAGUUCAAAAAUGAAAGUCAAUAGUUCUGCAAUGGACUUUGAAGAAAAUCAAGAAGUAGUUUGAGUAAAAUAUAAGUUAUAUUGUUUAUACCUUUUUUAAUAUUGCUUUGCAAGAAAUUUGUAGCUAUGGUAGAAGUUUAGAUAAAAAUGCAUUUGCCAGAUUUAUGGCUGUAAUCAACAAAUUUAAAAAUAAAGAAGUGGAGGAAGAAAAUUCUCAGGGCAUUGAAAAGAAAAGAAAAAUUGAAAAACAAAUGUACUAUCCAAAUAAAAAAUAAGCUAGAUUUCUUUGUGUAUUUAAUGGCUAGAUAAUAUUUGAAUUGUAGCUAUUUUUUUAUGCUUGUAUAGCUGUGAAGUUAACAAAAAUAGGAUGUGGUAUUUUAUAUGGUAUUUUGUGUUAUAAUCAGUAUAAUAUAACUGUAUAUUUUUUGUAAGGUUUUGGUGCAGGUUUCAAAUUGUAAAUACAAAUUUUAUGUAAGAGGUCAUAUUCAUAACUAGGUAUAGUUUUUGUAAGGCUUAAUUUGGUGUAGGUUUCAAAUUGUAAAAACAAAUUUUAAGACGUCAUAGGUGUUGGUUUCUGUGUAACUAUUUUUAUAUCUUUUAUUUUAAGACUAAAAUGUUAGCUUAUUUUGUAUGUUAAUAUUCAACUAAUCAUUUUCUAUUACAUUUUCUUUGCUAUGUUUUUCAUAUUUUUUAGGGUACAGAAAAGCUAAUUGGAUUAACUUGAAAUUGACAUUGAACGAGGGGGAAGAUCCUCUGUGAGUAUAUAUUUAUUAAUUAAAAUGUAUACAGAGCAGUAAUUUUUUUCCAUGUUACUAUUGUAUGGAAAUUUGAAUGGUUUGGGCUGUAUAUACAUGACCAGCAGAGAUGACAAAUAAGCUAAAGAAGUGCGAGUCUAGAUACUAUAUACCAGAUUAAUACAUUUAGCCUCUUUGCAUUUAAUUUUGAGGUUGUUGAUAUUAAAAAUACCAUAAAUUAUUAUAUUUAAAUAACAAAUAAAUUUAUAGAUUUUUUAUUAUUUGAAAUAAACAAAGU
rnacentral:lncRNA from 1 species